rnacentral:rRNA from 1 species
AUUGAACGCUGGCGGCAUGCCUUACACAUGCAAGUCGAACGGCAGCACGGGAGCAAUCCUGGUGGCGAGUGGCGAACGGGUGAGUAAUAUAUCGGAACGUGCCCAGUCGUGGGGAUAACGUAGCGAAAGCUACGCUAAUACCGCAUACGAUCUAUGGAUGAAAGCGGGGGAUCGCAAGACCUCGCGCGAUUGGAGCGGCCGAUAUCAGAUUAGGUAGUUGGUGAGGUAAAGGCUCACCAAGCCGACGAUCUGUAGCUGGUCUGAGAGGACGACCAGCCACACUGGGACUGAGACACGGCCCAGACUCCUACGGGAGGCAGCAGUGGGGAAUUUUGGACAAUGGGCGCAAGCCUGAUCCAGCAAUGCCGCGUGCAGGAUGAAGGCCUUCGGGC